rnacentral:rRNA from 1 species
CCUACGGGGGGCUGCAGUGGGGAAUAUUGGACAAUGGGGGCAACCCUGAUCCAGCCAUGCCGCGUGUGUGAAGAAGGCCCUCGGGUUGUAAAGCACUUUCAGUGAGGAAGAACGCCUGGUGGUUAAUACCCAUCAGGAAAGACAUCACUCACAGAAGAAGCACCGGCUAACUCCGUACCAGCAGCCGCGGUAAUACGGAGGGUGCGAGCGUUAAUCGGAAUUACUGGGCGUAAAGCGCGCGUAGGUGGCUUGAUAAGCCGGUUGUGAAAGCCCCGGGCUCAACCUGGGAACGGCAUCCGGAACUGUCAAGCUAGAGUGCAGGAGAGGAAGGUAGAAUUCCCGGUGUAGCGGUGAAAUGCGUAGAGAUCGGGAGGAAUACCAGUGGCGAAGGCGGCCUUCUGGACUGACACUGACACUGAGGUGCGAAAGCGUGGGUAGCAAACAGGAUUAGAUACCCUUGUAGUC